UGCGUAGGCGGUUUACUAAGUCAGAUGUGAAAGCCCCGGGCUUAACCUGGGAACUGCAUUUGAUACUGGUAGGCUAGAGUAUGAUAGAGGGGGGUAGAAUUCCUGGUGUAGCGGUGAAAUGCGUAGAUAUCAGGAGGAGUACCAGUGGCGAAGGCGGCCCCCUGGAUCAAUACUGACGCUGAGGUACGAAAGCGUGGGUAGCGAACA
rnacentral:rRNA from 1 species